GAACGGCAGCACGGUCUAGCUUGCUAGAUGGGUGGCGAGUGGCGAACGGGUGAGUAACGCGUAGGAAUAUGCCUUGAAGUUUGGGAUAACAUGGGGAAACUCAUGCUAAUACCGGAUGAGCUCGAGAGAGGAAAGCUGGGGACCUUAGGGCCUGGCGCUUUAAGAUUAGCCUGCGUCCGAUUAGCUAGUUGGUAGGGUAAAGGCCUACCAAGGCGACGAGCGGUAGCUGGUCUGAGAGGAUGACCAGCCACACUGGGACUGAGACACGGCCCAGACUCCUACGGGAGGCAGCAGUGGGGAAUAUUGGACAAUGGGGGGAACCCUGAUCCAGCAAUGCCGCGUGUGUGAAGAAGGCCUGAGGGUUGUAAAGCACUUUCAGUGGGGAGGAGGAAUGAUUGGUUAAGAGCUGAUUAGUUGGACGUUACCCACAGCAAGAAACACCGGCUAACUCCGUGCCAGCAGCCGCGGUAAU
rnacentral:rRNA from 1 species